CAGUCGCCGCGGAAUACGAGGGGGGCAAGCGUUGUUCGGAAUUAUUGGGCGUAAAGGGUGCGUAGGCGGUUUGAUAAGUCAUCUGUGAAAUCUCUGGGCUCAACCCAGAGUCUGCAGGCGAAACUGUCGGGCCUGAGUAUGGGAGAGGUGAGUGGAAUUCCCGGUGUAGCGGUGAAAUGCGUAGAUAUCGGAAGGAACACCUGUGGCGAAAGCGGCUCACUGGACCAUAACUGACGCUGAUGCACGAAAGCUAGGGGAGCAAACAGGAUUAGAUACCCCCGUAGUCCCUGUCUCUUAUACA
rnacentral:rRNA from 1 species